GCGUUGUUAUUGACGCCAUAUUGCUGGUGUGGGAGUCACAGAGGGAAGCGCCGCCGCCGCCCGGGCCCCGCCGCCAUCGCUCGUCAUCGGCGGCCCCGGACCGGGUAGCCGGGCCCGGCCCCGCGCCCCUCGGCCCAGCUCCCGCCCCGCCACCGGCCGCGGGCGGAAUUUGGCCCGGCCAGGGCAGGGCGGCCGGCGGAGAGCGGGGGAUCCAGCCGGCCGAGCCGGAGAGCCCGCCGGGGGGGGGGGGGCCGGGGCCGCUCCCCAGAGAGAGGCCGACAGGGUAGGCGGCGGAGGCCCUGACGCAGCUGCCCCCUCCUUUCCCUGCCGCCCUCCCUUCCCUCCCCCCCAGCCCGCCCCAGACAGCGGGGAAGGCGCCUCUGGGCAGGGCCGGCUGCCGCCACCGCCGCCGCCGUCUCCCCUGCCCCUCGCUCCGAGCCCCCUUCCUCCGCCCCGCCGCCGCCGCCGCCCCGCGCCAUGGCUUGCGGCGCCACUUUGAAAAGGACUCUGGAUUUCGACCCGCUGCUGAGCCCGGCGUCCCCGAAGCGGAGGCGAUGUGCGCCAUUGUCAGCCCCGGCCUCGGCCGCCGCCUCCUCCUCCUUCGCCGCCGCCUCCCCGCAGAAAUACCUGCGCAUGGAGCCCUCGCCCUUCGGAGAGGUGUCGUCCCGGCUCACCACAGAACAAAUUCUGUACAACAUAAAACAGGAGUACAAACGCAUGCAGAAGAGGAGACACUUAGAAAAUAGCUUCCAGCAGACAGAUCCUUGUUGUUCUACUGAUGCACAGCCACAUGCAUUUCUUCUUACUGGACCAGCUUUGCCAGGUACUUCAUCUGCAGCAUCAUCACCAUUGAAAAAAGAACAGCCUCUGUUUACUCUCAGACAAGUUGGAAUGAUCUGUGAACGUUUGCUGAAAGAACGUGAAGAGAAAAUCCGUGAAGAGUAUGAAGAAAUUUUGACCACAAAACUUGCAGGUGAAGCUCAUCCCUGCAAGAGGAUGGGGACUUUAAUGGGGCAAACCUGUGGGACUAGGAACCACUACAAAUCUAACUGCAUUUUUGGUUGAAGAUUGCCUUCUUUGACCUUGCCCUUUUCUCAGAACACCCCACAUUGCUGCACAUGUAUUUUUCCACAAGGGAGGAAGGGGAAUGGAGAGGAGCGGCAUCUGAACAAUAUGACGCAUUUGUGAAGUUCACGCAUGAUCAAAUCAUGCGACGAUAUGGAGAACAGCCUGCCAGUUACGUUUCAUGAAUCACACUUUCUGCAUAUGUGGGCUGCCCUAUACACCCUGUUUUAUUGUUGCAAGCUGUCCCAGUAAAGACUUGCAGCAAUGCCAUAUUUUUUCCCCCUGUGAACACAGGUUAUUUCAAGCUUUUGUCAGUGGCAACCACUCUUAUGCAGCAACUGGUUUUGGAGUGCUCCCUGAUGUCAGUACCACCUGGAUGUGGACCUUUGCUACCUGUAAUAAUACCAGUGGCCUCAUUUGCUGUAUCAUUACAAUUUGGCUUCUUAUGUUAAUAAGUUUGAAAAAGUAAAGGAUUAAAGCUGGUGUUCUAGAAGUUGCCCUUCACUGGUUGUGUAAAUAAAAAAUGUAGAAUGACACUUCUGACUGAAGUUAGUGUGGUUUUCAUAACUGUGCACUACAACAAAGCUGUAAUCACAGUUAAGUUAGAAUGUAAUCCCAGGACAAUUUUAAGCAAAUAGCCCACAGUACUGCCUGUGAAAUAGUGAAGGAGGGCAUUUCUGUAUUCCAUGACUUUUUUGGGGGUUAAGAAUGGGUUUAUAUGAUUUCUCAUUUUUGUAGUUUUUAUUUAUUCUAUCAGUCUUUAACAAAUGUUUAUUGCUGCAAUUUUUCAGUGUAUCAUUGUUUUACUGCCCUUGUAGUACUGGAAUUUAGUUGGAAGAAUAAAACAUUUACUUCUAA